rnacentral:rRNA from 3 species
UGGGGAAUAUUGCACAAUGGGGGAAACCCUGAUGCAGCGACGCCGCGUGAGUGAAGAAGUAUUUCGGUAUGUAAAGCUCUAUCAGCAGGGAAGAAAAAAGACGGUACCUGACUAAGAAGCCCCGGCUAACUACGUGCCAGCAGCCGCGGUAAUACGUAGGGGGCAAGCGUUAUCCGGAUUUACUGGGUGUAAAGGGAGCGUAGACGGCGCGGCAAGUCUGAAGUGAAAGGCAGGGGCUUAACCCCUGAACUGCUUUGGAAACUGCCAUGCUAGAGUGCUGGAGAGGUAAGUGGAAUUCCUAGUGUAGCGGUGAAAUGCGUAGAUAUUAGGAGGAACACCAGUGGCGAAGGCGGCUUACUGGACAGUAACUGACGUUGAGGCUCGAAAGCGUGGGGAGCAAACAGG